CCUAACUAUAAAGUUAACAGUUGGUGAAUAAUCAAUCAGAGUACCGCAGCGGAAGUAUGGAAGGAAGUGAAUGAUAAAGUUUGAUUAAGGAUUGGUUAAGUGAUAUUAGAAGAUUAUGAAAAUUCGAGGACGAAUUUUUAUAAGGAGGGAAGAUUGUAAUAACCUAAAUUUUUGAGGUAUUACGUGUAGUGCCACGAGGCAUAAUCGUAAAGAUUAAGAACGAUAAUAUCAGAUUAGGAUUGGAUAAUAAGGACUUAGACCGAAGCGGGUCUAUUGGAAUUAUCGUAGAAUAAUAAUUUAAAUGGAAAAUUAUUAUGCGAAAAUUGGAUUUAAUCAAGACAAAAAGGGAAUAAAAUAAAAUAAUUUGAAAAGCCAGAGUUAAUAAUAUUCACGUCAAGGUCCGUGAAAUAUUAUUAAUAAAUGAUCGUCAAGUUUCGUAAGUAUACAAAAUCGUUUUAGAAGAAAGUUUGACGAUUAGUUAAGAAUAAGGGUUAAAGUGCAAAUUAGCCACUUUAAGGACUAAAGUGGACUUUUAACCACAAACUUCCGGAGGAAGUUGUGUUUUACUCUAUUUUCUCAAGAUAAGAAAAUAAUAUCGGUAAAGUUGUUAUUGAUAGUCAUUAAAAUGAAAAUUGGACGAAAAAGUGAGAAAAAGUGCAAGUUAGCUCAAAAUGGAAAUUUGAGCGUUUUUGGCCAAAAUUGCCAAAAUAAAUUGUUGGAGGGUGAUAUUAUAAGGUAUGAUACUAUUGUUAUUUAUUUGGGAAAUAAAUAAUACGGAAUUUAUCGAGAAUCGAAUGAUUAAAGGAUUAGUGGACUAAAUUGGACGAAAUAAAAGUUAUAAAGUGAAAGUUGAGGAGGUGACAAACUCAAGGACUAAAGGAGACUUUUGCCUCACCUAUUUAAGACACUUGCAUAUGAGUUUAAACUCAGCAAGCAUAUCAUUUUCAGCUCCUAAAAUUCGUCCUUCACCCUUUCUCCAUGGAAGAACAUCAAGCAAAUUUCAAAUGGUCAUAACUCACUCAAUUUUGAUCCGAAUUGAGCGAUUCUUGUGGCCACGGAACGAGGGAAGGAUCCUCUACUGAUAUAUAGUAUCAAUUUAAGGUUAUUGAAAGCUUGAAGGGACUAUUUUGAUGGUUGUUCAUGGAGGAAUUCAUUCAACCAAAGGGUUAUCCCAUCAAAAAAAGACCGGACGAGUGACUAUCGAUACGGCUCGAGGCGAACGGAUUGAGAUAUUGUUGUGCUUAUUUGAAGAAUUUGGAUAGCAAGUGGGAUAGUAUGAUAUGAUUUGAAGAGUCAAGCUUCCGAAGUUUUAAUUCUCGGAAGUCAUUUGCACAAGAAGUGAAAGAAGGUUUUCAUUCUAGCGGUCCGCAGUAGUCUAGAUGUUUUUUUUCUAUGUAUUUGUCUAGCGCAUUUUAACUCUGAUAUUUUUGUAAAAUGGGGUCACAUAUAUUUUGAUAUAUGAAAAAUGAUUUGAUUUGCGAAAAAUUUACACAGGAUUUUAGGCUUGCUACGGGUUUUGGAGCUACCACUCCCAUUCCCUA